rnacentral:rRNA from 1 species
UACGUAGGGGGCAAGCGUUGUCCGGAAUCAUUGGGCGUAAAGAGCGUGUAGGCGGCUCGGCAAGUCCGCUGUGAAAGUCCAGGGCUCAACCCUGGAAUGCCGGUGGAAACUGUCGAGCUAGAGUCCGGAAGAGGCGAGUGGAAUUCCUGGUGUAGCGGUGAAAUGCGCAGAUAUCAGGAAGAACACCCGUGGCUAAGGCGGCUCUCUAGUACGGUACUGACGCUGAGACGCGAAAGCGUGGGGAGCGAACAGG